rnacentral:rRNA from 1 species
GGUUAAAAAGCUCGUAGUUGGAUCUCGGCGGGCAGGGGGUGGUUCGCUCUUCAGCGCUACUGCCCCGCUUUGCCCGUGUGAUUGGCGGAGGUUUCGGGGUGCUCUUCGUUGAGUGACUCGGAGCGCCGUCAGGUUUACUUUGAAAAAAUUAGAGUGCUCAAAGCAGGCUUUUCACGCUUGAAUAUUCGUGCAUGGAAUAAUGGAAUAGGAACUCGUUUCUAUUUUGUUGGUUUUCGGAAAUCGAGUUAAUGAUUAACAGGGACAAUUGGGGGCAUUAGUAUUCAGACGACAGAGGUGAAAUUCUUGGACCGUCUGAAGACUGACUACUGCGAAAGCAUUUGCCAAGAGUGUUUUCAUUAAUCAAGAACGAAAGUUAGAGGUUCGAAGGCGAUCAGAUACCGCCCUAGUUCUAACCAUAAACGAUGCCAGCUAGCGAUCUGCCGAGUUUUUUUUGUAGGCUCCGCAGGAAGCUUUCGGGAAACCAAAGCUUUUGGGUUCCGGGGGAAGUAUGGUUGCAAAGCUGAAACUUAAAGGAAUUGAC